UUUCAUACUUUUCUCCGAGUCCACAUGCCUGUUGUUCACAACUAUGGCAGUAGGACCGUCAGGGUACACUUGGAAACGGGUGUGCCUCCCAUUGCGGAAAGGAGAACCUACGACUGUAU
rnacentral:ncRNA from 1 species